GUCAGGAUGUCCGAGUGGUUAAGGAGUUGCACUCGAAAUGCAAUGGGCUCGCCCGCGCAGGUUCGAAUCCUGCUUCUGACG